CGUGCGCAGAUCAGGGAUCGCGAUUGCGAAUCCUCCGCUGAGGUGAUUUGGAUAUCCCUAGAACGUUGAGGGCAGGAGUCGGGUCCUGAGACCAGGUCCUCAGCCAGCAGAGCCACGUUCCUUAUGAGCACCGCGGGUUUAUUUCAUUUUCCUACACCACUGACCCGAAUAUGCCCGGCGCCAUGGGGACUCCGGCUUUGGGAGAAGCUGACGUUGUUAUCCCCAGGAAUAGCUGUCACUCCGGUCCAGAUGGCAGGCAAGAAGGACUACCCUGCACUGCUUUCCUUGGAUGAGAAUGAACUCGAAGAGCAGUUUGUGAAAGGACACGGUCCAGGGGGCCAGGCAACCAACAAAACCAGCAACUGCGUGGUGCUGAAGCACAUCCCCUCAGGCAUCGUUGUAAAGGUAGAUCACAGAAGGCCGCUGAGGGGAGAGGCCCCGCCCAAGGGUUCCACAGCCUCCAGAGAUUUCUCCCAAGUGUGAAUGGGAUCAGCCGAAGUGCAUUAUUUUUCUGGCUUGGGCCACCCUCUACCAGCCAGGCAGUAGAGAGCACCGCAGAUCUCGUCCCAUCCCUGAGCCAUUCCUCCCUAAGGCAGAACCUCCUACAACAGCCUGGGAAGCCUGUUUCCAGGAUCUUUUGGAGCCAGGGUAUGGCUGCCAUCCUUGAAUUUGGCAGACAGCACUGGUGCUUGGCUGCUGCCCCGGAAGCAACGUCUUGACAAAGCUAAGCAGUGGCUGAUAAAGGCAGGCGCCCGGGCAGCAUGGUUCUUUCAAAUCCGUUCCCGCUGCAGGAAGGCUGCCGAGAUCCCCAGCAUUGCUAUGGGCUCCAAGUCCCUGAGGAGGCGGCAAGCAGGCAUGGGUUGUCCGCUGGCAGUCCCAGCCCUUAACUGUCAUGGUUGGUUAACAUUAGGGUGGCCACAUCCUCCAUGCCUCUCUGUCCCCUUUGGUAAAUGUCGGUGAUACCUCCUCUUCUAGACAGAGAGGACUGAGGGCGAGAUCAUGGAGGAUCAUGGAGGCCAGGCAUUUUCCAACCUCAGAAGAAAAAAUGCUGUGCACAGCUGCCUAUAGGAGUCUUCCUUUUUACAUAAAAAAACAAGUCUCGGGCCAGGCACGGUGGCUCAUGCCUGUAAUCCCAGCACUUUGGGAGGCCGAGGUGGGUGGAUCACCUGAGGUCAGGAGUUCGAGACCAGUCUGGUCAACAUGGCAAAACCCCAUCUCUACUGAAAAUACAAAAAUUAGCCGGGUGUGGUGGCGCGUGCCUGUAAUCCCAGUUACUCGGAGGCUGAGGCAGGAGAAUCGCUUGAACCCUGGAGGCAGACAUUGCAGUGAGCCGAGAUCAUGCUACUGCAUACCAGCCUGGGCAACAGACAAGAUUCCCUCUUAAAAAAAAAAAAAAAAGAAGGUUGGUCAGAGGGGCUCCCAGUCCAUCUGCCUCAGGGAUCACGAGAGAGUCCUGGAAGCAGCACAGAAGAGAGAUAGCCAAGUGCCAUCAGACAAGAUCAGUUGAUCAGAACAGAAAGCUAGCUCGGAAAAUCCUACAAGAGAAAGUAGAUGUUUUCUACAAUGGUGAAAACAGUCCUGUUCACAAAGAAAAACAAGAAGCGGUGAAGAAAAAACAAGAAAGGAAAAAAAGA
rnacentral:sRNA from 1 species